ACGCUCGACACCUACGGGGGGCAGCAGUCGGGAAUAUUGCGCAAUGGAGGAAACUCUGACGCAGUGACGCCGCGUGCAGGAAGAAGGUUUUCGGAUUGUAAACUGCUUUAGACAGGGAAGAACAAAUGACAGUACCUGUAGAAUAAGCUCCGGCUAACUACGUGCCACAGCCGCGGUAAUCUGAGCGGGCUGGCAAGGC
rnacentral:rRNA from 1 species